GAGAGAUGGUUGAGUGGACUAAAGUGGCGGAUUGCCAAUUUGUGGUACGAGUUAAUCAUAUCGAGGGUUCAAAUCCCUCUAUUUUCG